UACGUAGGGGGCAAGCGUUGUCCGGAAUCAUUGGGCGUAAAGAGCGUGUAGGCGGCCAGAAAAGUCCGCUGUGAAAACUCGAGGCUCAACUUCGAGCUGUCGGUGGAAACUUUCUGGCUAGAGUCCGGAAGAGAAGAAUGGAAUUCCUGGUGUAGCGGUGAAAUGCGCAGAUAUCAGGAAGAACACCCGUGGCGAAGGCGGUUCUCUGGGACGGUACUGACGCUGAGACGCGAAAGCUAGGGGAGCAAACAGG
rnacentral:rRNA from 1 species